rnacentral:lncRNA from 1 species
UGACAAUGAAAGUUGUAAUUUUAAAGAGAGGGCAUGAACGUCAUUUGGAGGCACUUGGACGCCUUCGAUAAAGCCAUAGAUAUCAAACGUAGUAUUUUGAUGAAACAUGCCAUGCCUUACAAUAUCUGAACAUUGCCUACUCUAGUAGGGGGCCCACCCUUCCACUUACACGUGUCAACAAUUCAAACCAUCUAAAAUAUGACCCCUCUCCACAUUUUCUUAGUUGGCCAAUAGAUGCACUAGUUAUUCACUGUGUCACGCAUUAAUUUCCAACUUCAGUCAACUCCAUUGCCACUGAAUUGAACAGAUCCCGAAAGGAGAAAAGAAAUGAAGGUACGUACAGUUUCAAUUCAAUUAUAGGAUUUAAAACUCACAAGUAUUCUUUUUUCUUUCUUUAUUUUCCUUCUCCCCUCUAAUUCUUUGGAGUUCAUAUCUUUUUUUUUUUUAUUAACUAUGCUUUCUUUCUUGACGUAGAUCUUAAAUUGGGUGCACCGGAAAUUUUAUCAGAAAGGUGAUACUAGCUUUCUUCUUCAUUUAAAUUUACAAAAUAUUACACUUAAUUUUUUUUCCUUCAAGAAAGUAGUGUUUGUUCAAGAUUUUAUACUUCAUCUGAAAUCCGUC